CCCGCCCGGCCUGCCGGCCUCUUGCUCAGACAACGGCGGCUUGUUUCCUUGGUAUACGAAAGGCCGUGCGCCCGGCCGAGCCGCACUCCGAAUGCCUGAGGGGACGGCGGUCCCGGGUGACAUUCGUCUGUGUGGAAAACUAACGUGGUUUCUUUCCUUCCCUUCACCUCUUUGGCAGGACGGUGAGCCCAGCAGUAAGGGUCGAGGAUCUAACCUUAUGGAACCAAAGGGGAUGCAACCCUCUAAAAGUAUUUCCUCUAGGUGGUGCUCAUGUAUGGCUUUAUUCCGUAGCUGAAGCGCUGCUGUUAAUAGAAAACCAGCAAAACCAAGAACGUCUAUUUCCCCACCUUUGAUUUUUCUAUGAAACACAACGACCACAUGAACGUGGAGGCAUUAUCACAAUACGAAACUGCUGCUGCUUCCUCACAGGCUGUCAGAAUCGCUGUGAGUGAGGGUAGGCUGGGUAAACAAACCUGCUACGGGUAGGGGUUACUGCCAGCUUACAGCUUGGAAAGUUCCAGAGCACCUUGGUAUUUCCCCAAAGCCUGCUUGCUUGUAAUUGGAUUAAGUUGUACCCAACAUUUUUCACUAUUGAAGUCUUCUGCCGGCAUCAGCAAACUAGGCAGUACUGCUGGAGCAAGCAACUUUCUGUCUUUGCUUUCAACAGCUGAUGGGCUGGGUUUGGGGUUUGUGUUUUGGUUUUGGUUUUUUUUUUUGCUGAGAAGAGAACAAUGAUCCUUCACUUGGUGGUGUUUUUUUCGAGUUUCCAUUGUACUAAGCUUCCUUAAAUAGCCUUCUUGUCAUAGCCUCGGGAAAGUGGGAAUAAGUUGCAAAGGCCAUCAUUCUCAGUACUUCAACUACAGUCUUAUCAAAUUAUUCCACCCGUUCCACAUCAUCAAGAAUUCUGACAGUCUGUGGAGAAUUUCUGCAUCAUUUCAGAAAGUUACCAUUUCACCACGUUCCUGGCAUAUCUUCAGUUAUUUUUCCAGCGCUGAUCUAUUCAAGUUUACUUUCUAGGAUGUGGCUGCUUGUUCUUCUCUGAGAGGAUAUUUCCAUAAUGUAUGUUAUAGAAUUGAUUGCAUUGGAAGGGAGCCUUAAAGGCCGGCUAGUUCAACUCCUCUGCGAAGAACAGGGACACCUACAGCUACAUCAGGUUGCUCAGAGCCCCACCGUCCAGCCUGACCUCGAAUGUCUCCAGGCACGGGGCAGCCACCACUUCUCUGUGCAACCUGUUUGUAUCGAUGGAAUUAAUUUCACCCAUCACAGCCCGUGAUCUGUAGCUUCUUAGCUCAGUGAAAACUGCAGAAGACAAGCAGAGCCAGACGCUUCUGUUUCUAGCUGAUACUGCAAGCUACCAUACGCUUUGUCAUAAACCUAGUGCAAUGAGGUUGUUUAAUUAAAAAAACUCACCUUCAUAAUGAAA